UUCAAAAUAAAAAUGCACAAGAAUGAAGAAGAAGAAGCAAAUCAACUAUGAAAACUCGAAUUUUAUACCAUUUCCAUGCACCCAUCCUCGAGAGCGUGUGAACCAACAUAUUGGAAUUGGUUUAUUGGAAUUGUGUAGCUGACAAAUCUAUAUACUAUAAUGAAGAACAACCCCAAAAUCCCGAA